UUUUUUUUUUUUUUUUUGGCCCUGGGAGGCUACAGGGACUCAAGGACUUCAUCAUCAAAGUCCUGUGCCGGCUAGCUUCCAGGUGUAUUGAGUCAAUGGAGAAUCUGGCAGAUUGGAGGAAGGAGAAGGUCAUGAUCAUCUGGCAAUUAAAGAAAUGGCCAGACUGCCUCCCACUCUGAGGACCCUUGGCUACCUGACAAGUAAUUCCAGAGACCACAGUAGUCAGUGCUGGCAAGAUUCCAGAGCCCAGAAGAAGGAGCAAUCUUUUGAAAAUCUCCUUGGAAGGCACACUCAAUUCAAAGAUGACCAUGGGAAUGAUUGACCUAGCUUCCAAGAGAUUCAUUUGAUGUUUAGUUACAGGAUAUCCAUCGAUGACAACA
rnacentral:antisense_RNA from 1 species